AAAAGAGGGAAGACCAGGCACUUUGGGCAACUGUGGGUAGCCAGCCUGGACACCAGGUCAGAGUCCAGAGGAAUAAAAAAGAGGAGAGGUGAGCCUGGAAACCAGACAUGGUGACGGACUCCCUCAGCAAGCAAGGAGUGUGCACUGAGACCUGUAGGGUGAAUUCCUGGCUGGCCGCUCAUCAAGUCUGGGAGCAGGGACACCUGAUGUAACCUCUGAGCCUGUGUCCCUUGCUUUGAAAUGGUCGUGGUAAGAAUAAUAUUAAAAACAGGGAACUGAGCAGAGGGACACUUGUUGAGCAAUGUCGGAUGUUGAAAGGCGGACGCAGGAGAGGCAGACAGACCCACCUGCUGAGUCACUGGUCACACGGUUGAUAAGAUAGUGGUUGGAAGGAAUCCAGGCGGAAUGGUUCUAGAACCUCCCUCUUUAUCAUGAUAGCUACCCCGGAGUGUGUGGAGAAUCAAAUAACAUCUAUCACCUGCCUCUCCCCAAGUCAGACACAGAGGAAGGACACAGCUGAAGCGAUAUUAGCCCGAGACCUAGGAAGAGGAAGGAGCUGCCAGCAGACCUUGAAAGUCCCCCGUACCCGGAAGCUCUGACAUCUGUAGUUAGUUCGCUGGAUACGUGAGGUUACAACAGGCCCGAGGUCUGGUCAGAGCUGUGACUUAGGAAAGAUUCAUCUUUUAACAAGGAUCAGCUUAAAAGGGCCGGUAGUGAGUGGAGACCAAUUAGACUUUUAUUACAGCCAUCAUUAAAGGAACCCCAAAAAACCAAGUGGGGGUGGAGAAGUAAAGGGGAAGACAGAUAUUAAGGCCUUCAUCCUCCAGCUUGCUGUGUAGUAACAGAGGACAGAGGAAAACAUUGGACGGCACCAAGAGAAAACAGUCAACAAAACCCAGACUGAAGGAUCUACUCAAGUCAAGUACUUCAUUGCAAUUACCCAGUUUGCAAUAGAGGAAGGCCUGGAUAGAAAUGGUGACAUGAAUUAACAAGAAAACUGGCAACACCAGGCUGUGUCGUCCACCAGUGCUCACGGAGUGACAGGGAGAGCGGGAGAGCAUGGUGUUGGCAGGAGAAUCUGGAGCCCCGUUGGGUCCAGAGCACAUCAGGAUAAAACUAAGCUGUUUAUUGUUGUCAGUAUGGUCCUACGUGUGAGAUGGACUAAUGUAUAGUAAUUAUUUGGUUUAUACACUUUUAACCUGUCUAAGAUGUCUGGUGGCAUCCACAAGUACUCAAGGACGGUGUGCUAUGAUUUUCAUUUCUGUUCCGUGCUCUGUAUGACUCGAUCCUUCACAGUAAUGUCUUCAUCUAUUCCUUGUAUAAUGAAAUGUAAAAUUAAAAGUGAAAAGAAAGAUAGCAA